GGCUGUUUCAACUUUAGACAAGGGAAAAUCAGCUUUAGCCGAACAUGUAUGUUACACCAAACACGAGAUUGCGUGGGAAAACUCUAAAGUAAUUACCACAAACAAUCGCUAUGGUCAAAGGCUUUGCCUAGAAGCGUGGCAUAUAAAUAUGAGUCAUCAUGCUUUGAAUAGGGAUGGCGGCGCCUAUUUGCCAGAGGAAUAUAUGCAUCUUCUUGGCAGGUGACGUCAUCCCUUGGGUAUUUAAGAAGCCACGAUCGCAGUUUUAGAUCACCCCUGAUGAAGCCACUAGACUGGAGUGUCGAAACGUUGGGUCUUGAUU